AUAAAAUAAUUCAAAGAGAAGGAAAUGAAUAUGCUGUCUUGAAGAGACGACGGAAUGAAAAGAAGGUUGUUGUGUGUUUGUUUUUUUUGUUUUUUUUGUUUUUUUUUUUUUU
rnacentral:ribozyme from 1 species